AGUGGGAUAACUGGGUAAAAUGGUGGUUCCAUUCCAAGUGUCUGAGGAAUCUCCAUACUUUUUUCCAUAGUGGUUCCACCAAUUUGCAGUCCCACCAGUGAU
rnacentral:pre_miRNA from 1 species